AUGUGUGUUCCGAAGAAGAAGGGAGGUAUGGGAUUUAGAGACCUUCAUAGCUUUAACCUUGCUAUGUUAGCAAAGCAGUGUUGGCGACUGAUCCAGAAUCCUGACUCUUUGUGUGCACGUGUUCUAAGUGCAAAAUACUAUCCUGAUGGUAAUGUUCUGAGAGCUGGCCCAAAGAAAGGCUCCUCAUUUACAUGGCAAAGCUUGGUUGCUGUGAUACAAACUUUCAAGAGGGGAUGUAUUUGGCGAGUGGGCACUGGUUCACAGAUUAACAUUUGGGAUGAUCCAUGGCUCCCAUCAAGUCCAACAAGGAAGAUUAUCACCCCUAGAGGUGGAAUCAUGUUGUCAAAAGUGCAAGAGAUAAUUGACCCUCAUACGGGUCAGUGGGACGAGGCACUAAUUCAGAGCGUGUUCUCACCAGUUGAUGUAGGCAGAAUACUACAAAUUCCACUACAUAUUGAAGCACUAGAAGAUUUUGUGGCAUGGCACUAUACAAAGUCUGGAACCAUUACAAAAAAAGACACAUCCGUGACAUUUUGGGUCGAACGAAAGAAAUUUCUGUCAUACAUAUGA
rnacentral:rRNA from 1 species